rnacentral:rRNA from 1 species
CGUAGGUGCAAGCGUUAUCCGGAAUUAUUGGCGUAAGGGCUCGUAGGCGGUUCGUCGCGUCCGGUGUGAAGUCCAUCGCUUAACGGUGGAUCCGCGCCGGUACGGCGGGCUUGAGUGCGGUAGGGAGACUGGAAUUCCCGGUGUAACGGUGGAAUGUGUAGAUAUCGGGAAGAACACCAAUGGCGAAGGCAGGUCUCUGGGCCGUUACUGACGCUGAGGAGCGAAAGCGUGGGGAGCGAACAGGAUU